AGUGGUUGUCGCUGAAUCCUUUGAUUUUGAAAAAGGAAACUGAAAUCCAGCAAAGCGAAUCAAGAGGGCGUUCAUGAAGUGCACCAAGGAGCAGCCUAGGAUGAUCCAGAAGGAAUCUGCAAACUGUUCACUGUGCAAGAUUUGAGGGAUGUUUUUUUUUCUGGAAGCACAUGGCCAAAAAGAGAAGAUAAAUUAAUGAGAAGUGGAGAAGUCCUACAAUAAGAAAGUAGGAUACCAAGAUAAAAACAAGGUGUCAAAUAUUGAAAUGUGUGGCUAUGAAACCCAGUGCUGCUCAGGUCUGCUGGUUCUCCUGCUGGCUGGCAAAAAGCAGCUGCUUUUGCAGCAGAGUUUUGCCCUGCAGAGCCAAGAGGAAAAACAUUGUUGGUUACGUGUGGGCACUGCCUGUUAGGCAGCCCAUGCAACGUGCUUGCUCUAUGCUCUAUAACUUCUUCCAAAGCCUUUGUUAGCGCUGGUUGCAUUUGCUGCUAUGUCACUUGCCCCAGCAGCCCACCCUCGGGAGCCCAUGCAGCACACGGAGACCCUAACAGUGGGAGCAGCAGCCAUGCUGUGAGUGAUUUGGUAUUUACAGUUAAUUACUGCUGCCUGAUCUACCAGAGGCUGUGCUGAGGUUCAGCCGUGUAACGGCCUGUGUGACCAUCAGGACAAAUGUUAGGAAUUAUUUUAAAUAUUUUUUUAAUGCAGUUUUUUAGUAUUAUUUCAAAGUGUGAUCCUGCUUGGCUGGGGCACAGGGGAUAGUUGAUCAGCCUUGGUAUAAGGGUAAUCUGUAAUCACUCGUGUUUGCUUAGUGACAAUGGGUAUUUCAGAAGUAAUCAUCAAACACACUUAGCUGCUGCUGAUCCACAGGGGCACGAUUAAAGCAGGGUAAUAACACCUUGGAGCUGCCUCGCUGCAGCUGCAAUGUGCUGGGAGGAGUAAGCCUCACGUAAAUUAACCUACCUUGCAAAACGUUUACCAGCAAACAUUUUGUAGCCUGCAAUGCAGUAAAUACAGAGAAGCAGGUAAUGUGGUAUCAAGCCAAUUUAUCGCCUGACUGAACGAAAGGGAAAUUAAUGGCACAAAUGUUUGUGCAUUGCUCCCGAAGCUGUGUUGACUGCUGCUUUGUGCUGCUAAUAUCUGCUGAGAGCAGAGAGGGGCAGUGCGGGGCCCGUGGAGCACGCACAGCCCUGCGGGCACGCUGCAGCGCGAUGCUCGCCCUCGGCCGCCCCGUUACCGACCGGGUGCGUUUGGUGUGGAGGGGGAACCUCCAUGCGUGGGAGGCAGCUGCUGCUGGCGGCCAUGCCCAGUUGUUGCUGGUGGCUAAAUUGCUUAUCUCAUCCUAGUAAAGCUAAGUGGGUUUUGGAAAAUAGCCUUGUGUCUAUUGGACCGUAAAAUACUCCAAAAAGUUACAAAUCUUAUGUAUUUACAAGUGUAAGAAACAGCUGUACUGCUAAUAUGCUGCAAAGUAGUUUUAUUCUUGUACUAGUCAAGAUAGCCAUUAAAGGCUGACCAGUCAUUGCUUGUGCAGAAUUUGUGCAAGGAAUAGCAUUAUUUCAUGCAACACUACCUAAUCCUUUGGGAGAACAUGAACUUAUUUAAUAAUACAGAUUUUUGUUUAUUUUAAGCAAGUAUGCUACUGCAUUGUGCUGAAUCUUUCUUUCCCUUGGCACCUGCAUUAUAGUUUCUGUCAUUAAAAUUUUAUAAGCGACA